GUUAAUAAUAUAAACCUUCACUUUACCAAACUACGUUUUAAAUAUAAUAUUACUCAAUGGCGAUAUCGUAUAAUUGAAAAUUAUAAAAUAAAAUAUAUUUUUUUUACAUUCUGAAAUGUUUUCAUAGGAUUCCAUACAUACUGCACAUAACCUUAGAGAGUCUAGAGCCUGCAGUGUCGUAUGGUACUGAUAAUUAGUAAAAUCAGUACUUAGUUAGUUUUUAGUCAAUAAAUAAACACCUACCUAACGAGAGAUACUUCAAAUUUUCAUACAGAACAAACAGCAGUUAUCAGUGCAUUUUUUGUGGCUGCAUUCAGGUUCUUAGAAGGAGGAAAACCCUGACAAUUUCGAUUUACGAACAACGAUUAUUAAUUUACGAACCUAAUUCAAUCUAAUGUAACCCUCUUAAUGAACAAAUUACAACGUGAUUAAUUUAUUGAAAAGAGCUGCAGAAAUAGGCCCAGACCGCUUUGUCUAUGUUGAAAAACUUAGAGCUCAUCAUGACGGUCUGUAUAACAAUAAAACAGGCGCAUGUCGCCGUAUUUUUGGAAGAACCCAAGUUUUGAAUUAUAUAUUAUGUAUAUUUUAAUUUAACAUAAUCAGUUAAUUGCUUUGUACAAAAGUAAAAUAAUUAAAAAAUUAUUUUUACAAUGAUUUUUAACUGUUGACUCUAUUUCAAGUCGCCGCGUAUUGUGGUGAUCACUGGGGCUGGGAUUUUAAUGUCCUAAAUAUCUCAAAUAUGCCCUUAAAAAAAAUUCAAAAAAUGAUUUUAAAAACUCAAACAAUGCACUAUAAAAAUGCAUUUAAAUUACAAUUUUAAUAGUCUAAAAGUUGGGAAAAAAAUUGUAUAUAUUAUUUUUUAUUUUUAUAGUAUUUGUUACUUGUCUAGUUCUGGACGUUCUAAUUGGUUACUAAUUCAGUAAUACUUAUCGAGGCCUAGCUAUGAUAAAAUAAAUUGUUAUCGAUGAUAACUUGUCGUGCUAUAUAUAAUUUAUUAUUCGUACCGUCUGCAGUUUGCAGAAAGUCUCUUGUGAAUAGCAACAAGUUUUGUUUUAAUUUUUUUAACGAAAUUAUGAAAAAUGCUCUAAAACAAAGAAAACGCACUAAAAUCGUCAAAAAUUGAUUACUUUAAAAUAAUCAGUAUCACACUAUCACUCAAACACAUUUUAUACUUACAGAGCAACGUUCUAAAAUAUCAGAAAAAAAGAUGACUUUGCAUCAAAAUCCCAGCCCUAGUGAUCAUAACACUCUCAGACGAAUGCGAAAACUGUGAUCGCUACAUUCGGCGACCACUGUAUAUAUUAUAAUAUUAUUAUACACACAUAACAUCGGCCCGAUUUUAUUUCAGUUCAACUUCGAACACCGCUCGCUAUCGGUGGUUUAUGGUCCUUGUUGAUCAAUACACUAUCUGAAAUCGCACACCACGUAGAGAGCACUGCUUUUACCAAAUUCAGACAAUAAACUAUGUUGCUUUUACUUGAAUCGUACUAUAGAUAUCGCAUUGAGUGCAUAAGAAUUCCAUGGAGACGAAAACAAAUUCAAGUUAUAAAGAUUUCGAGUUACCAAGGUUCGAGUUAUCGAGACUCAACUGUAUAUGUUUUCUCUACUACUCAGAAUAUAUUUAUUUAAUUUCUUCUUUAGGUAUAUAC